rnacentral:tRNA from 1 species
GGGAAAGUGGCUCAGUGGUAGAGUGCUUGCCUUGCAUGCAUGAAGCCCUGGUUCAAUUCCGCAGCACCA